GCUUACCUAAAGGAUCGCUGCAAUUUGAAUUACUAUAAUCAACCGAAUGAUUCUUGGUUGUGUUCUUUCGCGUGUCCGCCGUUCUGAUCUCUCGAGCACGUUAGAUCUUUUUUUGUAUUUUUCUUUAAUUUGAUUUUAGGGCACAUCACUCGUGCUUAUUUAUACAACAUUGUACACAGUAAACAUGUCCAUUAGAGCUAGAUUGUUAGCUACCUGAGCAGAGAUGAGCUCUGAUCAGUUGGAUGGUGUGUACAGACUGAAUAGGCCAAAAGGCAGUAUCAAAGUUGGCCUACAGCAAGGAGACUCACCUCGAUAGUGCGUAGCGGGUAGAGUGACAGGGACGCUACAAGACGGACAAUGAGCACAAGCACCUCAAAUAGGUGAAAAUACCAUAUCACAUAAGUUAGUUAGAGUUUCUGAAAUGUAAUGCCUCUCAAUUGCAGGUGAAGUUUAAUUUGCUCAUUUUCACAUAGUACAUAAUCGAGUUUCUGUUUCUGUAAAAUAGGUAUCUGUUAGUCCGAAGUGUGAGUUUUAAUCUCCUCAGUAUGUGCCAUAAAAUAUUUUUGGUGUUUGGAUGAAAGAGCAUGUGUGCAUUGCUUUUUUAGUUUUGUGACAACCUAUUUCAUAGAAUCAGACUAUUGGUCACCUGAAAUAUUUAUGUAUGUUACAUGUACUGCUCUUUCAGUUUUCUGAUGAUCUCACAUGACAACUUUCUUGCAUCAUGUUAGUUCAUUCCUUGACCACCUCUAGAGAGAUUACCUACAAUCUACAGUUCCCUGAAACAAGUAUGAUCGUUUAUGUUCGCAUGCUUUCAAUGUGUAUGUGUACCGAGUGAAUUGAUGUUGUUUUUGGUCCUCUGUUUUCAGGGUCUAUUUUCGCUGCACCAAACUAGAUGGACGAAGCUAGAUGGUACAGAUUAUCCUUCAGCUCUGUGCCAGCGCCUUGUGCUUAAGCUUAUUGCGAUAGCAUCAACGCUGCCUUAUAAUGAUGUUUUUUGUCAUAGUGACGUUGGAAAUGUAGGCUUACCUGUGGCUUAUUUUGGUCUUCUUAACAAAGCUUAACACAUCCUUUUCCAUGAGGAGGUGGUGCGAAUUUCACGGGGCCGUGUGCCAAAUCGUGUUUAAGCUAUGGAUGUCGGUGAGAUUCCAUCCAGGGUCAUGAUCAAGGCGGCAUUCUCUGCAGUUUCCAAAGUCAUUCACAACACCAUACCCACCAAGGGCGAAUAGAGAAGUGCCGGUGACAUUCUCUCCGACAACAUGUCAUAAACAUCAUUCCGAUGGAGAAGUCCGACUAUACAACCAACAACCUUUGACAUGUGGUACUAAUGACAGUUUACAUAGUGUUUUUAGCUAUCGAAUAGUUUUUUUUCUAUUUGAUGUUUUAUUACCGUCGAUAUCUAUAGAUGCUUAAUAUAGUACUUUACAAACUAUUUACCGGAGCCGCGAGCCAUGGCAAGCCCCAAAAUAUUGCUCUACUUCCUCUUUUCUUCAUUGAUUUCAUCCUACCGACUUUGUUUUGUAAAAUCUAAAAAUCGUAUUUUCAUUUUUCACCCGAUUUUCAUCAUUCUUAUACAAA